rnacentral:rRNA from 1 species
UACGAAGGGGGCUAGCGUUGCUCGGAAUUAUUGGGCGUAAAGAGCGUGUAGGCGGCCAGAUAGGUCUGCUGUGAAAACUCGAGGCUCAACCUCGAGAUGUCGGCGGAAACCAUUUGGCUAGAGUCCGGAAGAGGAAAGUGGAAUUCCUGGUGUAGCGGUGAAAUGCGCAGAUAUCAGGAAGAACACCCGUGGCGACGGCGGCUUUCUGGGACGGUACUGACGCUGAGACGCGAAAGCGUGGGGAGCGAACAGG